UCACCUCAUGUGCAGACAUCAAGUGUUGAAAGCUACCACAAGGUGGUGUGCUUCUUUGCACCAAAGUUCUUGCACUUCUUCUACCACAGUAUGAAUGCCAGAUUGAUGCUUGCCAUUCUCCAUUUCAAUGAGAAUUCCAACAGACAGCAGGCUAAGAACAAAGCUGGAAAAGAAAUGUGGCAGCUCUCAUUUCCAAAGGCAAAAAAA